AGUGAACGCUGGCGGUAGGCCUAACACAUGCAAGUCGAACGGCAGCACAGUAAGAGCUUGCUCUUACGGGUGGCGAGUGGCGGACGGGUGAGGAAUACAUCGGAAUCUACUUUUUCGUGGGGGAUAACGUAGGGAAACUUACGCUAAUACCGCAUACGACCUACGGGUGAAAGCAGGGGAUCUUCGGACCUUGCGCGAUUGAAUGAGCCGAUGUCGGAUUAGCUAGUUGGCGGGGUAAAGGCCCACCAAGGCGACGAUCCGUAGCUGGUCUGAGAGGAUGAUCAGCCACACUGGAACUGAGAAACGGUCCAGAAUCCUACGGGAGGCAGCAGUGGGGAAUAUUGGACAAUGGGCGCAAGCAUGAUCAAGCCAUACCGCGUGGGUGAAGAAGGCCUUCGGGUUGUAAAGCCCUUUUGUUGGGAAAGAAAAGCAGCAGGUUAAUACCCCGCUGUUCCGACGGUACCCAAAGAAUAAGCACCGGCUAACUUCGUG
rnacentral:rRNA from 1 species